UACGGGGGGGGCAAGCGUUGUUCGGAAUUACUGGGCGUAAAGGGCGCGUAGGCGGCCCGCUUAGUCGGACGUGAAAUCCCUCGGCUCAACCGAGGAACUGCGUCCGAUACUGGCGGGCUCGAAUCCGGGAGAGGGAUGUGGAAUUCCAGGUGUAGCGGUGAAAUGCGUAGAUAUCUGGUGGAACACCAGUGGCGAAGGCGGCAUCCUGGACCGGUAUUGACGCUGAGGCGCGAAAGCCAGGGGAGCAAACGGG
rnacentral:rRNA from 1 species